AAUAAGUUCGUGUUGAUUAAAGAUGAAUUUGAUAGUUUCAUUGUGUUGGGAUUAUUAGUGUUAGUGGAAAUCGACAUCUAUUCCGAUGAUAAUUGAUGUCUGGGAGUUAUAUUGAUAAAUCGGGUAAUUAAUCGGAUAAAUGAGUAAUUAAUUGCUACUAAUUCACAUGCUUAUAUAACUAUUUAUUCACAUGUGUGUACUAUUGAAUCACAUUCUUGUAC
rnacentral:lncRNA from 1 species